ACAUGCAAGUCGAACGAGAUCUUCGGAUCUAGUGGCGCACGGGUGCGUAACGCGUGGGAAUCUGCCCUUGGGUUCGGAAUAACUUCUGGAAACGGAAGCUAAUACCGGAUGAUGACGUAAGUCCAAAGAUUUAUCGCCCAAGGAUGAGCCCGCGUAGGAUUAGCUAGUUGGUGGGGUAAAGGCCCACCAAGGCGACGAUCCUUAGCUGGUCUGAGAGGAUGAUCAGCCACACUGGGACUGAGACACGGCCCAGACUCCUACGGGAGGCAGCAGUAGGGAAUAUUGGACAAUGGGCGAAAGCCUGAUCCAGCAAUGCCGCGUGAGUGAUGAAGGCCUUAGGGUUGUAAAGCUCUUUUACCCGGGAUGAUAAUGACAGUACCGGGAGAAUAAGCUCCGGCUAACUCCGUGCCAGCAGCCGCGGUAAUACGGAGGGAGCUAGCGUUGUUCGGAAUUACUGGGCGUAAAGCGCACGUAGGCGGCUAUUCAAGUCAGAGGUGAAAGCCCGGGGCUCAACCCCGGAACUGCCUUUGAAACUAGAUAGCUUGAAUCCAGGAGAGGUGAGUGGAAUUCCGAGUGUAGAGGUGAAAUUCGUAGAUAUUCGGAAGAACACCAGUGGCGAAGGCGGCUCACUGGACUGGUAUUGACGCUGAGGUGCGAAAGCGUGGGGAG
rnacentral:rRNA from 1 species